rnacentral:lncRNA from 1 species
GACAGGGAGGAGGAGGGAAGAGAGCAAAGAGGAAGUGAGGAGGAAGGCUCCAGUGUGUGGCCCUAGACCCUAUCUCAAACCAAAGGUGUCUUCCUUGGAGAGCUGUUCACCUGAGAUCAGCUGAGGUCUUUUAGGGAGAAGAAAACAUUGGUCUAAUUUGCUAAGUAAGGGUGGACCAAGGCUAAACCAAAUCAAAUGUAUACAUGAAAUCCAAUUGCUAAAGUGAUGCUUAGCGUUUAAAGAGGACAAACUUGCAUAUAGAUCUGAGAAGCAGUCUUGAGGUUUGAGGAUGCCAGUGUGUGUAUCAGGCUGCAUUUCUCAGAGUAAUCUUAUUUUUUCAUGUGAACGACCCACCUCAUGUCAAGCUUAACUUCCAACAUCUACAAUGUGAAGGUAUCUCACUUUCUAAUGCAACACAUAGUAUUGAAGACAUUUUAUUAGAAGACCAUUCUCUACCUUGCCCCUUACUGCAUCCUAUUCCAAGUUUUAAAUUCUGAACGAUGCAAUUCUGACUGCCCUACAAGACACGGAAUCUACAGGGUUAAGAACAAAGCUGAAAGAAGAAACCAUGGAAAUAAAAAGCUAUGGUGAAGACCAGACACCAGCUUUAAAGCCUGCUGCUUACCCAGGGGAUUCUAAGUCUUCUCAGAGCGCAUUUGUGCUUCUUAAUUUUUACAUAAAAGAGUGAAUAGUUUAUUAUCAAUAUAAA